UACUCCAGCUUGUUCCUAGGGACUGUU
rnacentral:misc_RNA from 1 species